rnacentral:rRNA from 1 species
ACUCAAUAGAUACCCUGGUAGUCCUGGCCCUAAACGAUGUCUACUAGAUCGUGGCGGCACUGACGCCGUCAUGGUCGAAGCAAAAGUGUUAAGUAGACCGCCUGGGAAGUACGGUCGCAAGGCUAAAACUCAAAGAAAUUGACGGGGGCUCACACAAGCGGUGGAGCAUGUGGUUCAAUUCGAAGCAACGCGAAGAACCUUACCUGGGCUUGACAUGCUAGGAUUAUCUUGAUGAAAGUCGAGUAGGCCCCGCAAGGGGUACAACUAGUACAGGUGCUGCAUGGCUGUCGUCAGCUCGUGUCGUGAGAUGUCGGGUUAAGUCCCUUAACGAGCGAAACCUUUGCCCUUAGUUGCCAUCGGGUUAUGCCGGGCACUCUAAGGGGACUGCCGGUGUCAAACCGGAGGAAGGUGGAGAUGACGUCAAGUCCUCAUGGCCUUUAUGCCCAGGGCUACACACGUGCUACAAUGGCGUCCACAAAGCGAGCCGAGAGCGCAAGCUGGAGGAAAUCGCAGAAAUGACG